AGAGUUUGAUCCUGGCUCAGGACGAACGCUGGCGGCGCGCCUAACACAUGCAAGUCGAACGAGUGAGAGAGAGCUUGCUUUCUCGAGCGAGUGGCGAACGGGUGAGUAACGCGUGAGGAACCUGCCUCAAAGAGGGGGACAACAGUUGGAAACGACUGCUAAUACCGCAUAAGCCCACGGCUCGGCAUCGAGCAGAGGGAAAAGGAGCAAUCCGCUUUGAGAUGGCCUCGCGUCCGAUUAGCUGGUUGGUGAGGUAACGGCCCACCAAGGCGACGAUCGGUAGCCGGACUGAGAGGUUGAACGGCCACAUUGGGACUGAGACACGGCCCAGACUCCUACGGGAGGCAGCAGUGGGGAAUAUUGCACAAUGGGGGAAACCCUGAUGCAGCGACGCCGCGUGGAGGAAGAAGGUCUUCGGAUUGUAAACUCCUGUUGUUGAGGAAGAUAAUGACGGUACUCAACAAGGAAGUGACGGCUAACUACGUGCCAGCAGCCGCGGUAAAACGUAGGUCACAAGCGUUGUCCGGAAUUACUGGGUGUAAAGGGAGCGCAGGCGGGAAGGCAAGUUGGAAGUGAAAUCCAUGGGCUCAACCCAUGAACUGCUUUCAAAACUGGUUUUCUUGAGUAGUGCAGAGGUAGGCGGAAUUCCCGGUGUAGCGGUGGAAUGCGUAGAUAUCGGGAGGAACACCAGUGGCGAAGGCGGCCUACUGGGCACCAACUGACGCUGAGGCUCGAAAGUGUGGGUAGCANACAGGAUUAGAUACCCUGGUAGUCCACACUGUAAACGAUGAUUACUAGGUGUUGGAGGAUUGACCCCUUCAGUGCCGCAGUUAACACAAUAAGUAAUCCACCUGGGGAGUACGACCGCAAGGUUGAAACUCAAAGGAAUUGACGGGGGCCCGCACAAGCAGUGGAGUAUGUGGUUUAAUUCGACGCAACGCGAAGAACCUUACCAAGUCUUGACAUCCUGCGACGCACAUAGAAAUAUGUGUUUCCUUCGGGACGCAGAGACAGGUGGUGCAUGGUUGUCGUCAGCUCGUGUCGUGAGAUGUUGGGUUAAGUCCCGCAACGAGCGCAACCCUUAUGGUCAGUUACUACGCAAGAGGACUCUGGCCAGACUGCCGUUGACAAGACGGAGGAAGGUGGGGAUGACGUCAAAUCAUCAUGCCCUUUAUGACUUGGGCUACACACGUACUACAAUGGCGUUAAACAAAGAGAAGCAAGACCGCGAGGUGGAGCAAAACUCAGAAACAACGUCCCAGUUCGGACUGCAGGCUGCAACUCGCCUGCACGAAGUCGGAAUUGCUAGUAAUCGCAGAUCAGCAUGCUGCGGUGAAUACGUUCC
rnacentral:rRNA from 1 species